rnacentral:rRNA from 1 species
CUGUUCGCCAUUUAAAGUGGUACGCGAGCUGGGUUUAGAACGUCGUGAGACAGUUCGGUCCCUAUCUGCCGUGGGCGCUGGAGAAUUGAGGGGGGCUGCUCCUAGUACGAGAGGACCGGAGUGGACGCAUCACUGGUGUUCGGGUUGUCAUGCCAAUGGCACUGCCCGGUAGCUAAAUGCGGAAGAGAUAAGUGCUGAAAGCAUCUAAGCACGAAACUUGCCCCGAGAUGAGUUCUCCCUGAGACUUUAAGUCUCCUGAAGGAACGUUGAAGACGACGACGUUGAUAGGCCGGGUG